CCUACGGGUGGCACCAGUGGGGAAUAUUGCACAAUGGGCGCAAGCCUGAUGCAGCCAUGCCGCGUGUAUGAAGAAGGCCUUCGGGUUGUAAAGUACUUUCAGCGGGGAGGAAGGUGUUGUGGUUGAUAACCACAGCAAUUGACGUUACCCGCAGAAGAAGCACCGGCUAACUCCGUGCCAGCAGCCGCGGUAAUACGGAGGGUGCAAGCGUUAAUCGGAAAUACUGGGCGUAAAGCGCACGCAGGCGGUCUGGCAAGUCGGAUGUGAAAUCCCCGGGCUCAACCUGGGAACUGCAUUCGAAACUGGCAGGCUAGAGUCUUGUAGAGGGGGGUAGAAUUCCGGGUGUAGCGGUGAAAUGCGUAGAGAUCUGGAGGAAUACCGGCGGCGAAGGCGGCCCCCUGGACAAAGACCGACGCUCAGGUGCGAAAGCGUGGGGAGCAAACAGGAUUAGAUACCCGCGUAGUC
rnacentral:rRNA from 1 species